GCAAGUCGAGCGAAGCAAUUGUUGCUUGCACUGAUUGACUUAGCGGCGAACGGGUGAGUAACACGUGAGUAACCUGCCUUUCAGACCGGGAUAACAGUGGGAAACUGCUGCUAAUACGGGAUACGAUCUAUUGAUUUCAUGGUUGAUAGAUUAAAAGCUUUUGUGCUGAAAGAUGGACUCGCGUUCUAUUAGCUAGCUGGUAGGGUAAUGGCCUACCAGGGCGACGAUAGAUAGCCGGCCUGAGAGGGUGAAC
rnacentral:rRNA from 1 species